rnacentral:misc_RNA from 1 species
CUUGGCUCAUCGUCGGACUCAUUGUCUUUCCUGCGCAAUCGCAGUCACAGCAGCCGCCGAGACAUGGACAGAAAUAAAGAGGCUCCUAAGAUCCGUAAGAAGAUCAAUAAGUCCAACUCGAAACGACACUAUCAAUAAGUCCAACCCGAAACGACACCGUAGAUGCCUCCACCCGCUCCUCGGAUUCUAAUGAUUCCUCUUCUGAUUCUUACUCCUCAAGCUCAAGGUUCCUCCUUGAAAUCCUAUAUCUCUGAGCUCUCUUAUUCUUUUUAUUUAUACAUAUUUUUACCUUUUUAGAUAAUAUGGAUUUUUGUAAUACUGAAUCUUCUUGUUUAUAUAAUUUCGCUUUCCUCUGAUUAAUUCUAAUUUUUUUGGUUGGUACAAUAUUAUGCUUUUCUUUUCUUGAGAUAAAUGAUACCAAUUUAUGUAAUGUUUUUGAAUUGAAGCUAAUUUUCUCUGCCAGCCUCUUCAUCCAAGCUUUAAUUAAGUAGGUUUUUCAGAACUGUAUAUUUCCCUGAAAAUCACAGGGCUACUUGCUGUAAGAAUAAUACCCAUUUUACUUAUCGUGUGAGUGUAACUGCGUAAACGGGUCUCAAUCUUGUAUGAACAUACUUCUGGGGUAAACACAGAAUGGUGAUUCCUGUAGCUAGGGUGUUUUGAAAGUUACAGGAUUAAAAACGCCGUCAAGAUUUUUGCAAGAGUUUAGUUUUAUGUGCAUGUUAUACAUUUUACUGAUAUUUGCCUGUGUUCUUGCAAUGAAAUGGGUGUAAAGGCUUCAGGCUUGGUAGAAAGUGUCACUAAGAUGCCAAAAUUAUUAUAAGCAUCUAUAGUUAUAUAGGCUGCUUUCCCCCCCUCCCCAUCCCAUUUCUAAUUUGCAAUUGGUGAUGAUUUUCAUCUUAACAUCUUGUAUCCACUGUUGAGUUACUGUAGAAGUGACGGUUCAUCAGACACUGAGCAUGAACUGUAUAAUCAUUUAAUGAGACGGAAGAAAAUGACAGACCAAAAAAAGUGAUUUUUUAGUAGUAGGAUUUUUAUCUCUCUUUUUACAAUCUCUGCUUGUAUAAUAGUCUCAUAUCAUUGGUCAUUUGUUCUCUAGAGCAAGGAAAAGAUCCAACAACCAGACCUUCUGAUUUCAUUUAAUUUCCUCUCACUAUUGAGGAGUAACUUUAUGUUCACGAAAUGCUUUUAUUCUCAACUAUUGAACAUUCUGAAUUAUUCUGGCAUUUUCUAGCCUAGAUUUGAUUUUGAAUGUGUUGGGGAUAUGCAAGCGUGGAAUUCCCACAUCAAAAAAAGCUAGGAAUGAAUGAGAGACAUAUAAGUGAAAAGUUUUCACCCAUAGACUCAUUGCUUUAAGGUUUUGGGUUGGAUGUGGUGUCAAACCUACGAGUGUGUUUUUUCAUAAAGACACCAUCAGGAAGGAAGUUGUGAGAUAUUUGAAAAACACACCGGGAUUAGGUUUUGAGAGUUCUGAUUGAUGGUUUUGAGAGUUCUGACUGAUUGUAUCUUGCUCUUUUUCAUCACGGUGAAACUUUUUUUUUCUCUUAUCGUGUCAAACCUUACUGUUGAACCACGUUAAAUCAUUAUUCUUCUUCUAUUUUCAAUACUGUGUGAUUGUGCG